GGGCUCGCCGGGGCGAGUGUGCGCCCCGGCUCUGCCUGGUGUGUUUGGAGGAACACGUGGGUAUGGCAGCGCGUGGACCCUGAGCACGCAAGGAUGUGAGUGUGCGAGUAAGUGUGCCUCGAGAAAGUUCACGUGUGCGAGACCCUGCGCACAUGCAUGGUGAGUGUUGUGGCGAGUGCCAGAGCAGAGGCCACCAAGAGGCUGGCGGGUAGGGUUGCUGCACGUGGCCUCGUGGGAAGCAUGCGGCUAAUGUGCGCCGAGUGCAGGAGACAAUUUACUUUGAGGGCCUACAAGUACCUAGCCUUGGAGGAUGUUGUUUGAGGGUGCGGAACAGAGGGGUUCGAAGCCACUCCAAGUAUGUGUAGCACUUUGCAGGCUGCACUCCACAAGGUGUCUUCCUAAAGCUGCUGGAUGGAAGCGGUAGCUGACGUUUGUGCCGGGGACUCAGGCCUUUGGAACACGCACGGGUCUGUGGGACAGUGUGGACCCAGAACGACUAGGUGUGCAGAGAGAUGCGCGAAGGGACAGCGGCCCUGAGGCCUUGCGGUUCUUUGGAGUCUCUGGACAAGAACCCCCUCCCCUCCUGUCUGCUGGUCCCUCCACCCGAAGAAGUCUGCCUAUGGCCAAAUAGCAUCCAUUAGACGGAUCCAGGAUCGUGGACUGUGGGGCUUGUGUGU
ensembl:lincRNA Gm44246 predicted gene, 44246